UUCUUUUCCUUAGCGCUAACAGCUCGCCUUGCAUCUGUUGCAUUACUUUCAUCAGUUGUUGCAAUAUUGGGAGUGUUCCCUCUCCUCAUGCUUUUCCUUUCCACUCCUGCUUGCUGCUAAUGCCUGCAGCUGCUUCUCCUUCUCUUCAGCGAUCAUAUUCACCACCCGGCUCCCCUGUGCCAUCACUUCCGCUGCCUUGGUGUGUAGCCUCACUGCGGUCAGAAAUUCAUCGCACGUCUUUGGUUGCAUCACUCACACCUUCUCCAUUAGGGUUUCAGUCCGUCAAAUAAGUAUUCUAGCUUUUUUGCCUCUGCCAUUUGCGGAUUCACUAACCAUCAUAGGUUCAUAACUUCGUAAAAGUACUCUACCCUCGGCUCGUUGUUACUCUGUCGACUCUUCCGCAGCUUCGACGCCUGGUGUCUGGGAUACCACUGUUUUAGUAAUUCAUUCAGAAACACUGUCUGACGGAGCCACAGUGGCCGCCGCUGCCCCCGCCCGCACUGCUACCGUAUCCGUCCAACCUACUGGUGGUGUUAUGCAUUGAAACUACUUUCGCACCGGAUUGUCCAUAAACAUCCCAAAAUUCGCUCUUUUCUCCUAUUCUAUUAUAGUCUGCCGUUGUCUAACAACGUUCCAUCCAAUCCGCCGCAUCCUCCUCACUUUUCCCAGAAAAAGUCCAAGGAGUUUUGAAUAUGAUGAAACCGGCCAUUCUAACUGUCUGUGUUACCUGCGCCCCGGCCCCGUUCCCACCCCACUUGGAUCCCUUGCCUAAUCGCUGACUGCAGUUUAGUACCCUUGAAUGCUUUUUCUGAUACCAGGCCGGCUUUCUUGGAGAAUUUCAUAAGAAAAUGCCUAGACCGUUCGGAGUGUUGUGGAUCAUGGGUUUUUUACUGCUUCCAAGAUCAGUGUUGUGUAUUUCUUCGUAAAUAUGAAGAUGCAAAGAAAGGAAAAACCACUAUGUAACAACAAAUGUCAAAUAAAACCUUUUAUGGUCGUCUCCCAUCAUUGAGAUCAUCAAAUACUAGACUUUAACAAAAUGUUGCAUCUUCUCUCUCGUUGCUUUCUGUACACCAACUGCUGUCGGAAAAAAAUAAGGACAUGUCCCACAACAACUCAACAUGAUAGUUUAAGGGACACUGUGACUGUCUUGGGAAGCGUCAAUUGAAAACCAAAAUAUCUAUGAUAUAAUAAUACUGGCUCACACGUGUAAAAGCCAUUCAAAUAUCCCUUGCUGUGUUCAACAGGUAUCUUGGACUGGUAUGGGUUCGAGUCAUCCCAACAUGGCAACAGUUUGGAGCAGCUUUGUAUUAGUUAUGCAAAUGAAUAGUUGCAGUACUAUUUCACUAGCUAAUGAAGGUUCCAGGAGAAUGGUGUCCUGCUACCCAUAGUGUCGUACACAAACUGCUGUAGGGAAGCAGGGGGGACAAGUCCCACGUAGCAACUCAAACUGCAGGUUGAACCAAUCAUCAGAAAUGCGUUUUCAUCAUGAUCUACACCUUGUGUUAUCCGGUUCCAGGAUGACCAGAUGUUUCAGUGGCUGACUUAGUCAAAAAAUCAAAAAUCGAUUCUUCUGGACGGAAAGCAGUAUAGUGAGCAACUGGAUUCGGGCUACCGCUUCCUAUUAUUGCAUGAACGUUUCCAAGUGAAAGAAAUCCAGACCCUGACAGAGCCAGAGGAAUGGCUUUUCGUUCCAGGCAAAUGAAAUCCGGCUAACAAGGCUACUCGGUCAAAUAUUGGAGAAGGGAGUCUUUCUCAACGCUGGCUAGGAGGUUUCUGUUUCAGCCAGAAUCCUUAUGGCCAAAGGAUCUUCCUUGAAUAGCCAUCUCGGAAGAGAUGCGUAACUGCCGAACCUAUUCAGCCCACUUCUUUACUGGCGUUUCUGACUGGUCAGACAUUCCAUUGUUUCAGUCCAACAUUCACGAAUUCCUUCAAAUGAAAGGUUUCGCACAUCGGUUAUAAGGCCAGACAGUCUAUAACGCCUUGGCGGCCGGAUGUCUUGCGCAGUGGCCCGGCAAUGCAAAAUUUCCAUACAGCUCUAUUCAUCACCCGCUCACGGAACGAUUAAUUACUGUGCCACACGAGAACACACAUCAUGCUGCUACAAACCUCUUGUUCGUGAAUAUUAAUCAAAAAUUUUGGUUUAUGAUAGGGAACGACACAGUAAAGAAGAUACGACGAAGCUGUCUAGUGUGUAUUUGAGAAAGAGCGCCGUUCCCACAAGUCAACUCAUGAGAAACUUACCAACCUAUCGCUUAGACUCGUACUCGCCGCCGUUCUCUCACGUCGCGGUGGAGUUCUUCUGGCCGUUGGAAACUAGCACAGGAAGGAACAGAAUUUUCAAGCGAUAAGGAAUCGUAUUCUCUUGUCUGGUGACGAAAAUAAUUGCCCUGACCUCAUAGUCUUCGUCAGUCAGAUGAGAAGUUACACAAAGAAUAGCCAAUCCGUUAUUAGGCAUAGUCCAUAAAUCGCAUGUAAGGCUAAUUUUACUUGAAACCGACUAAUAUUUUUUUUUGCUGUCAAAUAUUUCGCUUUGAAGUGAGUAUAACUAAAAAAACUCAGGCAAUUAGUCAAUGAGCUUAAAAUAAAAUUGGAAUAUUAGUGGAUUGACUUAUGUACAGCUAACAAACAUUUUGCGCAAAAGAAGAGGUGAUAUAAUGGGAUUUGAGGAGGAAUUGAAAUCUUCGCUGUCAUACUUUAUGGAACCCCCAAGAGGCUUAAGUGAACGUGAGAAUAGCUGAUGUUAAUUCCCUUUGUGAAUUCAUUAAUUUUUGUCUUUCAGACAUGCGUGAAAACCUAAUUGAACUGGAAGAGAUUCUUAUACUGUAUCCACGUCAGAAAUUGGAUCAAAAAGGCGUUUUAACCCGCGCGAGAUAGACCUAGCUCAAGAUUUUUUAAAUUACUUAGAUUAAUAGUGCGAGGUAUAUUUGUUUGCAAAAAGAUAAAACACUAGUCUUCAUCUUUCUGAUUUUCAUUUUAUAAAAAUGUUUGGGAUCUGUAUUUAAAUGCAUCGUUUUUAAAUUGGAUCACCCUAAAAUAUGUCGCAUGGCCUGUCCCUACCCGAGGCGUGGGCUUAGGAUAUGGGGGUGGCGAAGGGGGAGGAAAUUCUUUGUUCUAGAAUCCUCCCCUUUUUCAUGACAAAAAGGCCAUGGGAAAAGUGCCAUCACACCAUCUAGCGGUCAAUUUUGGAACUAUACAUAAAAAUCUUUCAAAUGCCGUAAUCGGAUAAACAUCAACAACAUAGAAAAGUCUUGUUUUGACGUAUCUUGUCAUCU
rnacentral:lncRNA from 1 species